GACGUAGGGCGCGAGCGUUGUCCGGAUUUAUUGGGCGUAAAGAGCUCGUAGGUGGCUUGUCGCGUCGACUGUGAAAUCCCGAGGCUCAACCUCGGGCCUGCAGUGGGUACGGGCAGACUGGAGUGCGGUAGGGGAGAAUGGAAUUCCUGGUGUAGCGGUGGAAUGCGCAGAUAUCAGGAGGAACACCGAUGGCGAAGGCAGUUCUCUGGGCCGUAACUGACGCUGAGGAGCGAAAGCGUGGGGAGCGAACAGG
rnacentral:rRNA from 1 species